CCACAAAGAUUUUUCUUCUUUUUGUAUUUUCCAUUUACAUUAUAUUUUUAAGUAUUGUCGACUUGCACAACAUAUCUAACAAAAAAGCAGCGUGGGUUAAAAAAACAAAACGAAGCAAGGAUUAUAGAUAGGUGAUUGACAGAAGGCAGAACUCCUAUUAGUAAGAGUUACAUUCAUCAAGAUGAGUCAACUUGAUGAAAAU